AUGCCUGUCAGCCGAGCACCUGGUUUCUCAUCGUCGGCUGCCCCUCGAGCUAAAAAAGUGCAAAGGGGGAGCCAUGUUCUCCGCGGUGCCAAGGGACGCUUCUUGCCGACCAAACCCCGGCCUGAAACAUCUACAGUGUUGCCUGAAGCUACAAUUCUGAAGCAGUGCGAAUCUAUUCUGAAGAAGCUGAUGACUCAGAAAUUUAGUCAUAUUUUUAAUGUUCCAGUAGAUGUGGAAAAGCUGAAUAUUCCAGAUUAUAAUGAAAUUAUCAAGCACCCGAUGGACCUUGGGACCAUCAAGAAGCAGCUAGAUUCUGGUUCCUACACAAGUCCUUUUGAUUUUGCAGCUGAUGUCAGGCUGACCUUUAACAAUGCGAUAACGUAUAAUCCCCGAGGGCAUGCAGUGCAUGAUAUGGCCAUUCAACUGAAUAAAAUGUUUGAGUCCAGAUGGAAAACAGUUGAGAAGAAGUUAGUUUCUGCCGCCACUAAGCCACAUGUUGAGGUUGAUAGAGCUGACUCAAAGAGGAGAAAGACCCCUCCUGUGGACCGCAGUGACUUGUCAAUAGAUUGUGUCAGGCCAACUGAGAUUGUGAAGCCAAAGAUGACAUUUGAGGAGAAAGAAUCCUUCGGAAACUGCUUAGCUUCUUUGUCUGAGGAUCCAGAAUUACCUGGUCACAUCAUUGAUAUGUUACAGCAGUGUAUUGACAACAAUACAGAUCAGCUUGGGGAUGAAGAGAUAGAGAUUGAUAUCCAUGCACUCAGUGAUGACAUACUAUUAGAAUUGAAGAAGCAUGUGGACAAGUACUUGCAAGAGAGAGAUCACCAGCAGACAAAAUCUGAGCCUUCUGAGAAUGAGGCUGUGAAUAUUUCUGGCCUCAGUCAUUCAUCCACAAAUCCCUGCAAAGGUGGUGAGCCUGUUGAGGAGGAUGUGGACAUUUGCGGCAAUGCAUCCCCUAUAUUGAUAGAGAAGGAUCCACAGAUCAGAACAAGCAAAUGUGGUAGUCCAAGUAGUUCCAGCAGUGGCUCGGGAUCUUCAUCCAGUGAUUCUGACUCAGGCAGUGACGCUGAAAGCGAACCAGAAAAAGCUGGUAGCCCAGCAAAGCUUGUGAAGGGUAUUAAAAUACCAGAACAACCUGCAGAGCAAGAAAAGAGUGAUGAUGUUAUUAGCCCUGUUGAUGUUAACAACACUACUGCUGAUGUGGAACUCCAUGAACUGGACAAUGAGUCCAAGGCUGCACCUGAGGACACCGUUGCUGAUGUGGAACUCGGUGAGCAGGACAACGAGUCGAAGGCUGCACCUGAGGGGGAGAAUGCAAAACCUGACAGGCAAGUCUCCCCGGACAAGCUCUUACGAGCAGCUCUUUUGAGGGGCCGUUAUGCUGAUGUAAUUGUGAAAGCUCGUGGGAUUCUCUGCCAGGGUGGAGAUAAACAGGAGGAGCUGGAGAAACUGCAGAAGGAAGAGAAAGAACGGCUUCUGGCUGAAGGUAAUGCAGCCAUGGAAGCCCGCAGAGCUGAAGCAGAGGCUGAAUCUAAGCGUAAGCGGGACCUUGAGAGGGAAAAGGCUCGUCAGGCCUUGCAGGAGAUGGAGAGAACUGUAGAAAUUAAUGACAGUGUUGAUCCCAAGGACCUAGAAAUGCUUGGUACAGUCACCACAGAACAUAUUGUGAGUUCUGUCGAUGAAACGAGUCCAGAGCAUUCCCAGGAUGGCAUGCCCAGUUUUCUUCCUGGUUCUGGCAGCAUGUUGGAGAAACUUGGACUAUUUAUGAAAGUAGACGAGGAAGAAGAGGAAGAAGAGCCAUGCAGCAAAGAUGCGGAUGAAGGAGAAAUCAACUAA
rnacentral:rRNA from 1 species